rnacentral:rRNA from 1 species
GACGGAGGAUGCAAGCGUUACCCGGAAUGAUUGGGCGUAAAGCGUACGCAGGCGGCUGAGCAAGUCUGCUGUGAAAGACCGGAGCUUAACUCGAGAAAGGCAUUCGAAACUGAACGGCUGGAGGGCAGAUCGGGUAGGGGGAAUUCCCGGUGUAGCGGUGAAAUGCGUAGAGAUCGGGAGGAACACCGGUGGCGAAACCGCUCUGCUGGCCUGUCCCUGACGCUCAGGCGCGAAAGCUAGGGGAGCGAAAGGG